AAAUUACAAUAAUAUAAAUUUAAGUUUGUAAACUUACCUUAAAUAUGGAACCGUUUGUGUUCAAGCUUUGGAAUGGAUCUGGAAUGGCUUUGAAAAUGGUAAGGGAAGAAGAAGAAACGAAAAUGUUUUGAAUGCCUCUGAUAGUGAUACUCCACCUCUGAUAAGGUGAAACAAUAUAAUAGACAAUGGCACACUGUUCUGCAUGUGAAAGAAUAUCACGGACUCACAGUGGCACACGGACACGGUUUCAUUAUAAAAGCAGUAUUAUUUGAUGUCCAUGGUCUGAAACUACAAAAAGUUAUUGACAUAUUGUGAAAUCAGUCA
rnacentral:lncRNA from 1 species